UGUCCUAGAGAAAAGUAUGUGUCAACCAAGAUUGACUUCUAGAGCAUACAUCUAACAUAAUCCACUCGAAGCACCAUGCUGAUCAGCUUCUGCGGGAGUGCUAGCUCGUGUAGAAACUUGUAGAUAGCUGAUCUUCUCCUCUUAUAGAUAUCUCGAACUCUUUCGAAAUCAUAGGAAGAAUAAGGAGAAACUAGUGAUGGAAAGAUGGACGAAGAACUUUCUUCCUUUUUGACUUUUUCCUCAUCCAAAAACCUUAGAACAUAUUUCUAUGAUGCUCACCCA
rnacentral:lncRNA from 1 species